AUAAAAUUUAUUUUGUAUGAAAAUUAAAAAAAUUAAAAUGAUGAUAUCAAAUUUCUGACUUCACUAUACCAUUUAUAUGCCCAUGUUAACAUGGGCUAGUGUCGGCUCAUAUACCCAUUUACCUAACACCCUGUAUAGAUUGUAUUGACCAAGGUUGGGUGUCUGAGGAACAUAAAGUAAAGACCAUUAUAAAAAGAGAAACUGCAUCGAAAUCUCAAACGUUAUUUGCAGUUUCUUGAUUGAAUUGUGGUGAAUUACAUUAUAUUUCUCAGCUGUAUGAAUUGGAAUAAUGGUAGGAAUGAAGAAGCACACUGGUGGCCCGCAUUCUGAAACUACGCUCACAACUUGAUUCGAACAUAAGUUUUAGGUGUGUUUAAAUCCAGUUUUGAGGUUCGUUUCAUAAUACGGACCCGAGAAUAGUAUAGUCGAAGCAAUAGUUUAAUAUAACACUGUAAAAUUACCUCAUAAUCCAUGGCCUUUCCUUAAAUAAUACUAUGUCCUAGAAAGUACUGACUGAGCAAUGUACUGGAUAUUUUGUGGUAAAUCGUUAAAACUCUCGUUUGUAAUGUUGAAUAAUAUGCUUUGUUACCAUAAUUUUGUUUUCGCUUCUCCCUUAGUGUAUUAGUGUAUUAUAUUAAUUAAUUUAAAUUAUUUUAGGGUUGUUUUCUGUAAUUUUGGGGGUUUUCUGUAAUUUAAUACAAAUUAAGGAAAUAUUAUUAUAGAAAUUCUUCAAAGGCACAUAAAAUAUGUUAUUAUACCUGUAUUUACUUACAUGUUGGAAUAUUUAGAUUUUGAUCUCUUAUACCUUAUUAUGUUAUUGUAAUUUUGCUCUGCAUUUGUGCGACAAACUAUAUUUUAUGUCAAUUUUAUAAUAACAGUGUCCCGUAUUCUAAAAAUAUUUUUAAGUGAUUUAAAUGUCUAUCCUAAAAACUAGUUGAAAACAGAGAAUUUUCAAAGCAUUAUGGUUAAUGAUUGUUAGUAAAUAGAAUUCGUAUACCUAAUUAUAGAUUAAUUUAUUAAAAGAAAGUGAAAAACAUUCAAUGAUAAAAUAUUCUGUUUUCAUCUGGCGAUAUUAUUAUUUCUUUCUUAUCAAUUGUAUUUUAUAGAAAAAUAUUAUCUCAUACAAAAUAUUAUGGAUUUUGUACGGACACAUUCUGGAUUGCGGUGGCGCAGUAUUUCCUUCGUGAUUGUCACUUGUGGCUAAUAUAAAAAAAUCUAAGAAAAUGUAUUUUGUCUAUGGUUGAACAAAUUGAUAACUUUCAAAUGGGUAAUAAAUUAUGAAAUUACAUAAAAUUUAAUAAAUCUCUAGAGCAAUUUAUUUCAUUAAAAUCGAGCAAAUGCAGGAACUUUAUUAAUUCUACAUUAAAUGCUUUAAUCGCUCUAGAGAACGUUAUAAAUUAAUUUUUUACUUAGGUGCAGGUACUUAUUUGUUAUUUAAGUUGUACCUAUGUCUGCGCAUUUUAUCCCGCAACCCAGCUUUUAGUAAAUACUUAAUUCUUCAAUGUUCUGGCUCAAAAUGUACAUAGAUGAAAGAGUACAAUUCCUUAUUGUAAUUACUUGUAAUCUUAUUAGCUAUUGCAUAAGUGAUUCGCAAUGAAUAAAAAGCAUUUUAUGACGAA